GCAAGUCGAGCGGAAACGAAGAUAGCUUGCUAUCAGGCGUCGAGCGGCGGACGGGUGAGUAACGCGUAGGAAUCUACCUAGUAGUGGGGGAUAGCCCAGAGAAAUUUGGAUUAAUACCGCAUACGCCCUACGGGGGAAAGGAGGGGAUCUUCGGACCUUUCGCUAUUAGAUGAGCCUGCGUAAGAUUAGCUAGUUGGUGGGGUAAUGGCCUACCAUGGCGACGAUCUUUAGCUGGUUUGAGAGGAUGAUC
rnacentral:rRNA from 1 species